CCUACGGGUGGCAGCAGUGAGGAAUAUUGGUCAAUGGGCGAGAGCCUGAACCAGCCAAGUCGCGUGAAGGAUGACGGCCCUACGGGUUGUAAACUUCUUUUGUCAGGGAGCAAUUGAGUCCACGUGUGGGCUUAGCGAGAGUACCUGAAGAAAAAGCAUUGGCUAACUCCGUGCCAGCAGCCGCGGUAAUACGGAGGAUGCGAGCGUUAUCCGGAUUUAUUGGGUUUAAAGGGUGCGUAGGCGGAAUAUCAAGUCAGCGGUAAAAAUUCGGGGCUCAACCCCGUCGUGCCGUUGAAACUGAUGUUCUUGAGUGGGCGAGAAGUAUGCGGAAUGCGUGGUGUAGCGGUGAAAUGCAUAGAUAUCACGAAGAACUCCGAUUGCGAAGGCAGCCCGCUGGACUGUAACUGACGCUGAUGCUCGAAAGUGUGGGUAUCAAACAGGAUUAGAUACCCGAGUAGUC
rnacentral:rRNA from 1 species